GGACAAUGGUCGGGAUAUAAACCCAGGCAUUCCAGCUGGCAAUGGCAAUCCCCUUUGGGUCCCCUCCCAUUGCAUGGGAGCUGUGUUUUCACUCUAUUAAAUCUUGGAACUGCACACUUUUCUGGUCCGUGUUUGUUAGGGCUCGAGCUGAGCUUUCGCUUGCUGUCCACCACUGCUGUUUGCUGCCGUCGCAGACCCGCAGCUGACUUCUACCCCUCCGGAUCCAGCAGGGUGUCUGCUGCACUCCUGAUCCAGUGAGGCGCACAUUGCCACUCCCAAUCGGGCUAAAGGCUUGCCAUUGUUCCUGCACGGCUAAGUGCCCAGGUUUGUCAUAAUCAAGCAGAACACUAGUUGUGGGUUCCACAGUUCUCUUCCAUGACCCAUGGCUUCUAAUAGAGCUGUAACACCCACCGCGUGGUCCAAGAUUCCAUUCCUUGGAAUCCGUGAGGCCAACAACCCCAGCUCAGAGAACAAGAGGCUUGCCACCAUCUUGGAAGCGGCCUGCCACCAUCUUGGGAGUUCUAAGAACAAGGGACCCUAGUAACGUCUCCAUCUAACUCUAAUUAUUGUACUUCCUGAGGGCUUGGCUCUGAGAUUUGUUCCUACAUACUCUCUGUGUGGAGAAGCUUGGAUCUAUCCUAUGAAUUUCACAGACUAAUGUAAAGAUUACACAAAGUAAUACCUAUGAAAUAUCUUAGAAAAUGAAAAAGUUCCAUGAAAAAGCUGAGCCAGAUGUAAAUAUCCUUCCAGAAGUCAAUGGGAGUUCUGAAUGCAAGCCAGAGGAAGAAAAGAAAAGUGAAACAAAAUGAGAAAUUGGCUUGAAGUCAGCUGUUUAAAAAAUGGAAGUAAAACUCUUACAUGUUACACUAAUGGUAGAUAAUUAUAUAUUAUACUUUAGAUGGUUUUCAAAGUGCUUUAUUUAUUCAUUUCUUACUGUACUUUAUAACCUUUGAAUGAGAUUAUCGAAGGACUUAUCUUUUGAAUUCAACUUACCUUAGUGUGAAUGACACAGGUACCACUGAAAUAAUUAAUCUACUGCUUUGUGGAACUUACAUGGGAGGGAGAAAGAGUACUAAUAAAAGGCAUACAUGAUCUACAUUUUGAUUUAUUAAAUUGUUUCAAAAUAUUUUUUCUGAUAUAUAUUAGGGUAAAAAUUAUCUUUAUUACCAUCAAAAAUUCCCUUUCCCAAUUUUUGCUUCUGAAUUCUUGAACUCCUCACAUAAGGUUAAAAAGAGGAGACCUAAAUUAUGUAGUAUCAAGUUUAAUUUCAACAACAUAUUUAGUGUUUGACAUUAUAAGGUGGAACUAAUAUGGGAAGGAAGACUGAUUCAAUUUUCACCUUACUAGUAUCACAGAACUAUUUAAAACAACUUCACACUUGUUAUGCCUACUUUUCAAGAGGGCCUCAUAUUCAAAACUGUGUUUUCAAUGUAUAUUUUCCUUUCCAAUUUAUCAUUGUCCAUGAGCUGCAAGGAGUAAAACACUGUGAGUCUGUCUGAUCUCUGGAUUGCAGGAGCAUGUAAGACAUCACUAGUCUUCCUGGCUAGCACUCAGAAAAAAUGGUACAGAAAAAGCUAAAGAAACAUGACGCCCUCUGUGAGAAAAAUUCAGAUCAAGAAAGGCUAAUCACAUGGAAAAUCAAAUAGAAGAUAUAAUGGAAAUGUUUGUGUAUUAUAGGAAAGGGAAGGAAAAGAAACAAUCUUAAAAGCUAUUUUUUAAAAACAAUGCAAGAUAUAAAAUAUUACCCUCUUCAUUUCUUAGUGGAUGGAAGAUGCAGAUAAGAUACUUAAAAGAGAGAUCCAGGGCAAGAACCGUGAAAGCUUUAGUAUGAAUGAUUCAAUCUUGAUUUUUCAGUUAGUUACCAGUAAUGUAAGAUAAAGUUUAAAUUCGAUAUUCACUGUUAUUCAAAUAAGUGAAAUAUAACUGAAAAAAGAUAAUUCUCAGGUUUUACGUUUAUAUUUCUCUUAUAAAGCUAACAUAUGUUCUAAACUGAAAAUUUGAAAAAAAUGAAUAAAAUUUAUAAAGAAAAUAUUUAUCCAUAGUAACCAUACCCAGAGAGAAUUAUAGUUAACAUUUUACUUUUUCCUUCUGUAAUUUUUAAGCAUAUUUUUAUACAGUUGAAUGUGCACUAUAUGUAUACAUUUCUAUCCUGUUCCUAGCACUUAAUACAUUUUUAUGGGUUUUAAUACAAUUGUAUAAUCUUUGAUACAUUUUUAUUGGUACCAGGUGUCUAUAACACAAAAGAACCCAUGUUUAUGGAAUGUUUCUAAUUUGUAAAAGUUUAUUUAGCCUUUGAUUUUAUUUUAUGUCAACAACUACCCCUUGAAAUAUAUACUUCAGGAAUUGUUAUUCUCUUUACUUUUCAGAACUGAUACCUAGGGAAUCUGAAUACUGUGAUGGUUGGAUCGAGG
rnacentral:lncRNA from 10 species